rnacentral:rRNA from 11 species
GUCGUAACAAGGUUUCCGUAGGUGAACCUUCC